UUUGUGCCUGCUAAUGGAGAUUGUUAUUUACUUCUGGCAGAUCACAAUUCAUGGCUGCAUGUGGUGAAAUCUCCUUAUUUGAUGAACUACACUUUCUACAAUAAGGUGGAAGCUUUGUUUAUGAUCAGGGGUCGGACGACAGCAUAUAGCGUUAGUGUUGCUUCGUCGUUAUAGUAUUGGCCGGGGCUGUGUUUUCUUUGGUGAAUAAAUGCAAGACUAAAGUUUACGUUGGACUCCCUAGCUGUUGUCAUUUCUGAAUCUCAACACUAUGAAUUUACCAUGUCUCGAAUUAAUUAAUGUUUAUUUUUAUUAAACCUGCAUUCAUAUCGA